GGUAUUUUCCGAGGGGAAAAUUUCCCCAGGAGAAAACCGGGCUAGGCGGGUGUUGUGGACGCAGCGUUGCUGGGCGCAGGUGAGGUGCUCCCAUGGUUGGUUUCACGGUGGAUUCGUGGUCCAGAGCGCACCGGAUAACCCACUCCCCAGCCCCGGCCCGGGGCUACCACUGCCUUGGGGCUUUAGGGGCCGGUGGCGAGACGGGCAGUGCCGGUGCCGGCUCCCUAAGAACAGGGCAGAGCCCCGUGCCAGGUGGCAGAGCGAGGUUUUGCCCUAUCUCGUCGUUGCAUCCCCUCCUUCAGUGCCAUCUCUCGGAGAGUUUGGGACUUGGUGUUUAGUCCAGCUUUGGUUGGUUCCACGUCUGGUAUGUACAACCCAGAGAUGCUGAGAUGGGAUCAGAGACAAGAGAUCCCCCCAGCACUAACCGGAAAAAUCUGCUCCCGGUGUUCCUGAGCUGUAAGCAGAGCCCCGGGACUCCUGACCGGAGGGGUGGCAUGGUGAGGGACACCGGGGAGCAUGGCUCGGUGCUCUGUACAGCUGAGUCCACAGCAGACAUGGUCAGGCUGAUGAGCAAUUCCAGCCUCCUGGCCAGUCAGCAAGACAGGACAGGCUCUGAAGGCGUUGUCACCUUUGGCCAGUGUAUCCUUAACUAAAGUUGUCUCUCCAAUGUUGUUUUAUUUCAGAUAAUGCCAAAGGAAGAUGCUUCAAGUGCCAGGUGAUCUGGUUGUAAUGCUUUGCUAAAGUGUUGUCCUUACUGUCACACCGAGUUUAAAUAUCACUCUUUAAUCCUGUUUCCACAGCACAACCUGAAAUAUGCUUGUUCUGAAUGAAGUCUCAACACUUCAGUGAAUUCUCUAGGUUACAGCUUAAAUCCAAGCUCACAUGAAGAUAUAGAAUGAACAAGACCUUGCUUGCAGGCAAACUGAAGAAGGCUGUGUAGUCAUUCUUGCUGGGGAAAGUGUUUGCCUUCCUGACACUCCACCUAUGCACCAGUGUGCAGCAGCAGAGGCAUGUGCUCCACGUGCUCUGCAGUGCAACCACAUUCAGUGGUUUUUGGCUCUCCACUUUACAGAUGUUACUUCCAAUUUCUGAACUGGUGUGAGGGAAGUUUACUAAUACAAUUCCAGCUCUUGAUACCUAUCUAGCAAUGGCAUUAUCUGGGUAUGACUGGGAGAUGAAGCGGAAUAAUAAUUAAAAAAAAGGUAUUUAUUUAUUUCAGCAGGUGCUAAAUGCAAAUGCUUCAGGCUUGCCAGGAGUUGGGUACAUUAGAGCCUAGUGUCUUCCAUGUGCUUCUUGGAUUUGCUGUGUUGCGAGAGGAAUGGGGCUGUGCUUGGAUACUUUUUCAUAUGUUUUAUGGUGAAACUCAUUGCCGAAGCAUGAUAUUGGCACUAAAGGUUCCCAAGUGUUUCAAAAAAGCAUUAAACGUUAGGGGAAGAAAACUGCCAGGUGCUGCCAGGGGAUCACAACAAUGCCUCCUUUUGACUAAAGAAGAACCUGAAGAGAUGUUAGGAAAGUAUUGUUAUAUGUUUGGCAUCCUUCCUCAGGCGUAAUCUCCCUUGCUGUCAUCCACAUUGGUUUCCACAGGGAAAACAGCUGCAAGUGUUCAUAGUUCAAUCCCCAUCAUUAUGAAGAUGGAAUUUUGGGUGCUGAGAUGGGCUCAGGGACUCCGGAGGACCACAUUCAGGAGUGGAUGAGAUGAGAAGGGACAGAAGAGGGAAUGUGUCUCCCCAUGGCAGGCCCUCUCCUUGGGGUAUCCUUCAUACCAUCUGUGUGGAUCUCCCCUGGUCAUUGUGGUCAUCAGUGUCUGCUGGCUGCAGCAGGUUCUGCAGGAUCUUUCCUGGCACCAAGGGGGGCCGCUUAGCAGCCAUUGAGGAGACAUCUAGGGAGAGAGGUUUCUGCCAGUGGUGCUGGCAGCCUGCUUUGUGUUUUGGAAACCCAGCACCUGUCCUUCCAAGCCAAGAGACAAGCAUUGUGACCAUGCCCCAGUCUUUGGCGAGUCCUCAUCAUGCAGUAGUGCAACCAAGAGCAGAACGCUCACUUAAGGACUCAGUGGGAGAGAUACUCCUCAACCUCCUGUGCCACCAGAUGCCAGCAGCACUGGCACAGUGAACUGCUGCUGGAGGGAAAGCACAAGGUGCAAGGUAAAGUCCCACCCAGCAUGAGUGAUGGAGGCAAAUGAAGGAGGUGAGGGGGAACAAACUGAGCUGAGCUGAUAAAGGGGGAGAAGGUAGCCCUUCCCUAAGGCGGCAACUGAACCAGCUGCUGAGUGGGGACUGCAGUGUGAGGAAGAGACAGUGAAUGGAAAACCAGGGAAUGACAAAUGUCAGAUCUCUAGACCCAAGUGGGAGACACCCUGCUCACUGUCUGUGGUGCAGAAGCAGCAUGGCUGCAGCUGGUGGCACAGUGCCUGAGGCAACAGGGCUGCCAAGCUGAUAUCCCACAGAAAAAAGUGUAGUGAUGUGAGGUUAGAAACUUAAAAAUUUCUGUCCUGGGAAAGGAAAUGACAUAGAGGAAAAGAGAAAAACUAAGGAAGCUCUGGCUGCUCUGAGAGAAAGGAGCAAUUUUUUUUUUGUUUUUUUAGUGUUUUUAUAUAUGGGGACUUUGUGCAGGCAGUGGAAGCUGCAGACAAAAGGACAGAAAAGGACAGGUGGAAUGAGGGAUUUAACAAGGUGAGGAGGCAGCUUCAGCUCAUGGCUGGGCUGGGGAGGUGCUGAACAAAAGGUAUCCAAUUGGCAGGGAAGAUGGGAGCAAAGUAGGGAAGCUCAACUCACCCUGAAGGUAAAGGGGACCAGGAAGGGGGAAAAUGACACAGAGGCUGGAACAGAAAGAGGAGGCAGAGGCACAGGGGAGUGGAGGAGGAGGCGCACUAGAGGUUGCACUGCUGGUGGUGUGCCCUUGCUUAGGGUGGGCUGGAGAAGACUGCUCUGCUUGUGGGCAGAUAUGGAUAGCGGGGUGGGUUAAAGAUGGAGGGAAGACGUGAUCUCCUUAGCUGGAAGACUGUACCUGGAGAGUGGUAUCCUCCUAUAGUACAUGAUAGAAAGGUUCUUUAGUUCCAAGGGAGCAGGGUAUAAGUAAUGUGGGCAAAUGUGACCAGAAAUGAUGGGUGAGGGGAGAUGACAACACCCAUAAAAUCAUGAAUAAUAUGGGGAAGCAACAGAAGCUGUCAGUGUGUCUGACAACAGAGGACCUAUAUGGGUGUAUUAGCUUUAAACAAACAAAAGUAGCUCAUACAGUUUAUGCACAGCUUAGUAACGUGAGAAGUGGAUGGCUCCAGGAUGCCAUGAACAUCAGAGGCAUGAGAUUGAAAAGGGAUUAGCCAAAUUCACAGAGAGCAGAUUUCUCAGGGGUUAUUAAAAAUGUCAGUCUGAGUCAUCUUCCAGUUCUUGAAGUCCCUGAACUAACUCUUCAGAUAUUCUUGCUACUCUGUACUCACUCUGUUUCUCUGGUGAAUUUGAGUGAAGUGUCUGAGUUGAUCUAACAGCUUGCUGAUGAUGAUACAUGCAGUUCUGCAUCCCUCAUAAAAGUACCUGUGCAUCUGUGCUGCUUCUGCUGCACCAGUUCUGGGAUUUAUUCAGUUCAUUAAACUGGCAGAUAACUAAGAGUGAAUACUUCUCUUCCUGUUUAGUGAGCUGAAUUAGUCCACUGUUUUCUAAGCCAGUGGUUCUUGCUUCUCUCUGCAAAGUAAGAUUAGAUAUUUUUUUAAUGGAAGUGAAGAUUAUUCUGUUAUUAUCUGAUUCCAGGUGUUCAGGUUUUAAGUAUUUAGAACAUCAGAGUCAUGAUAACAUCCUGAUAUUAUAAAAGCUCCCAACAGAGCUGGAGCCUUGGCUCUCCUGAGAGCCAUACAGUUUAGGAAUAUUAUUAAAACACAGCGACGGGGGAAAAAGAAUCGUGCUUGUGUGGGCAGCAGUGCUGCAUGGCUUGGUAGUCUCACAUCAUUAUUGGCACUCUGUAUGGCAAACAACAUAAGUUUUGUUGGGUUUGGGGUUUUGUGUGUGUAACUGUUUCUUGUUCCUAGAAUCAGCAAGGUGCCACCAUUACCUCCCCUAGGAGCCUGCAGCCACGCCAGGGUAUGGUAACAAUGGCGCGGAGAAGCAAACAGGCACAUAAGAAACAGCUUCAACCUGGCAUGCCAGGAGCCACAACCUGCCGUACCUGGAGAACACCGGGCAGUUGCAGUUGCUGGGAAUAAUAAACAGGAUUUGCACACAGUAAGAGCAGGGUUUGUCUGCAUGUAUGAGACGUCCACUACAGAUUCUUCGACACAAGUCUCAUUUCAGUCCUUCAAUCUAGGUAAUGGAAAUAAUGUCUUCAAAGUCAGUUGAGCUUAGGGGAUGUUUCAUCCCUUCCUGGAGCAGACAUCUUAAAAAUGUCAGUUGAAUUAGGUCUACACAUGAGGCCAGAAGGGAUGCAUUUGAGGAUGCCAAGGGUGUUUGCCAAUAUAAUUUCAAGAUUGAUUUCUGUCAUCUUUGAAACAUGCUGGUGAUUGAGAAAAGACAAAUGUCAUCAUACUUGUCAUCAAGAAUGGCAAGAAGGAGGAUCCAGGCAGCAGUCAGCCUCAACUCAGUCCCUGAGGAGACUGGACAGCACAUUCUCCUGGAAGCUAUUUCCAAGCACAUGAAGGAUGAAAAAGUGACUGGGAUUUGCCAGCAGGAAUUUACCUGACCAACCUUAUUUCCUUGUACAAUGAGACAACAACCUGUGUGGAGGGUGUUGUAUUGAUUAGGAUUGGCUUUAUCAAGGCUUUUGACAUGGUUCCCCACAGUGUACUUGUAGGCAAGUUGGUGAGAUUGGACUGGAUAAUUGGAAUGUGAAGGGAAUGAAGAACUGGCUGGAUGGUUGGGCUGAAGGGCUCAUAUCAACCAUAUGAAAUCCAACUGGCAACUAGUUCCUGGGGGCAUCCUUCAGGGAUGCACACUGGUAGGUUGAUAGUGACUAAUGUCUUUUUUAAUGGCCUGGGCAAUGAGCUGUCUGCACUCUCAGCAAGUUUACAGACAACACCAAACUGGGGAGAGCAAUUGCAAUAUGCCUUAGGUCAGGGCUGCUACUCAGAUGAACCUUGGCAGGCUGGGGGAGAGGGCCUCUGCCUCAGUAAUAGGUGCUGGAAGUACAACUGAUGUGAAGGUAUAACUGUUGCCACCAGAAGCUGGAGGUGGUGUGUAUAUAAAGGAGGUGGCUUAGAGGAAAUCUGGCUGAAAGGGCUCUUAACUUCACAUUUUCUUCUGUUUCACCAGUGAUGAAAUCUAAAUGCAAAAUCUGUUAUUGGCAACAAUUGUGUGGAAUAUGUGUCUGGUCAUUGGUAUUUUGAAGGCAACCAUCUUGGCUGUAUUGAAAAAGAAUUCAGAAAAGUUAAAUUAAUUUUGCCGAAGCUGUUGGGAAUUCCUCAUCUCUGAGUGACAAGAGCUACUGAGAACCUGUAGCCAGAUUGUCAUAAUGUAAAUUGCAUGGGAAUUGUAGCUAUGACCGUCCCUCUUGACAUUCCUUCAAGGACUUGCAAGGUUUACCGCAGAGGGAGUAGUAAACUCAAAAAGGAAAAGCAGGGUACCGAGAAGUAGUUUCCAUGCGCUACUGGUAGUUUAAAAUUUGAACCAGCAGAAAUUGUCUAUCAUUAACUGCUACAGAAUAGCCAGGAAAGUAUGAGCCAUCACAUCUUCAUGGUAUCGAAAUACCUUUUUGCAUUAGAAUAUUAGGGUGGCAAAAAUCAUAAUUGUCAAGGAAGACAUUCUGACACUAUGUUACAAAGUGUCUUGUGCAAACACAUUUCCAUCAUGCCAUAUACUAGUUACAUUUACAAAGCAGUCAUUUCCAAAAGGAUUUUUUUGCCAGGUUUGUUUGUGAAGAUGUGAUCUGUUCAUCAAUAGGGCUUCAUAUAUGUAAGCAGUCUUACAUAAUGUUGUAGUAUUAGUUAAAUAAGAAAGCUUUUUUGUUGAAUUUUUUUGUAUCAUCACAUAGUUCAAAGUACAGGGGACCACCCCUGCCCUGCCAGGGCUGCACCAGGGAGGGACUGUCCCCAGCACUGGUACCCUGCUGGAAAGAGUAGGGUGGUCCCUGAAGUGAAACAUCACGAGGACUCAGGGAAAGGGGAUAAAAGUCUCCAGCGCUUCUGGAACUGUCUCUCUUGGUACUUGUGGUUUUGCUCACUGGAGCCUUUCCCCCGGGGACCAACCUGCUUCAUCAGUGGUUGUCUCUUGAUCCGUCACCACCCGGCUUUCCCUCACCGUGGCAAGCCGCCACCAGCGCUUUUUGCCGUGGCAACUGCCGUCAGCUGCCUGAGGGGUGCCAGCGCCGCUGCCAGCUGCUGCCACAGCCAUGCCAAAAGCCUGGGAAUUUCCUUUUGGGAGCUGUACGGGGCACUGCCACCACAUGGCUCAUGAUCACCUGGUCCCAGCGCCGCUUUGGCUCCAUCGUUGUCACGUCACAUGGUUUUGCUUCGUCGGGAUCCAUGCUGCUGUCUUGGUGGCAUAGGAGUCCUUUCUUUGAACGAAACACUCUUCCAGGUUUUUCUCAUUUUCACCAAGGGAGAGGGAGUGGCUAGGUAACAUAUUUUGUGCUUUUGUUUGUUUUUGUUUUGUUCUGUUUUGUUCUCCAUUUUUAGUAGAAUUGUUAUCUUUUUCCUCCUUCAUUCAGACUCCUCAUAACUUCAGAAUUUGUCAAUAUUUGGGGGAAGGAAGUAAACAAAAGAGAAGUGGAGGUUUACUUCAUUAGAGGUUCCACCUCCUGAAUAUAUUGUCAUUAAACCAAGACACGUAUACAGCAUUUGUUCCUCUGUAACGCCCUCACAGGGAACUGUUUUCAGAUUGGUAAGCAUGGCAGGAUUCCCUCAACCCACAGGCUUUCCACGACUGACCAUCUUUCUUUCACAUUGCAAGGUUCAGGCUUAUCCUGAGAGGAUUGAUCAGGUUCCAUUUUCAUUGUCCUGCCAGUCUUCAGUCAUAGUGACUCUUCAUUGCUGACACUUGUCCUCUUCCCUGGUUGUAGGAAUAACCUGCACUGGAAUUUAAUGGUGCUGCAGUGAACACACAUGCUUUGACUUACAAUUAGCUAUUUCUUCUGUUCUCAAUAAAUGCCACGUUUUAAUUGAAAUAACUAUGUGCUGGGACAUCUCAGUAUGUACUUCAGUAGAAACAUAAAAUGUGUUUUAGGUUACCUGUGUGGUCAAUGUUGCAAGAGCUUCAUUGGAGAGGCACUGAGAAAUCACACAGCCCUUGUGUACCUUCUGUGAAAUGAAUUUGUGUGCUCUGGACUGCAAUUCACAGAGCAUUAUAAAACAUGGUAAAUGUGGACAUUGAUCUCUGUGACAUGAGAGUCUCAUCCUUUCAACUCAGAGGCUGUGGGGUGUUACUUAUCUUUCAUUUAUGAUUCCUAGCAAGUGUUUUCCUCUGCCAGUUCCAUAUCAGUUUUUUUCCAAUAUGAGUUCCUGAAGCACUAUAUCAAAUAUUUACCAACAUUAAGAAUGGUAUAAUAUUAGACUACGUGCCUUUUUAAAUUAUCUGAUAAUCUAAUCAAAGAAAUGGCCUAGUUUGUUUACUCUUGAAUUAAACAGUGUCAUAAAAGCCCAAAGAAUAGUAGUGGAUCAUCUUCCUAUGCUGUAUUUUGCCAUUCUGUUCAUCACUGGAAAUUUUCAAAAGUAGGAAAGAUGGGAAAAGGGCAAAAGCAUAGCUGAUACAGGCAGAUCAAUGGGAAUGGACUAGCCGGCCUCUCAAAGGCCCUUCCAGGACCACGAUCUAUGGUUUUAUGUUUCACACUAAGCAGGUGAACCAUCAGAAGAAAUUCUGUGGAGACAUUUGGCCUCUGGAUCCCUGUGCGCAUGUAUGCGCUGUCCCAGCUUUCUCAGCUGGGAACUUUCCUUGGCUUUGAGUCUGAUGCCAACCCAGCUCUUUCCUGGAAACGCCAGCCUCCUAAGGCAAUGGCCAACAUACUCUGCUGGGAAGUCUGUUUUUAAACAAUGUCACUCCCAAGAUAAUGAAGGACAAAGUUCGCAGUUUCAACUGCUAUUGUGCAUAAACCCUCUACUACUUAUUAGAGAACUGACUUGACCCUCUGUCUUCUGCUUUCUAGGUGUGUUCUAACCAGUGGGCUGUACUGCCAAGGUCUUGCUUUCCUUUCCCUCUUCUAACUUCAUUUGUAUAUGGACAAAUAUCCUGGUUUUGGCCAGGGCAGGGUUAAUUUUUGCAGUAGCCAGGAGGGGGUGUGGCCAGGACACAGAGGUUAUUCUAUACCACCUCACAUCAUUGCCGGAGUGGGGGAAGAGACUCUCUCCCAGUGAAAAGGGGUUCCUUCUGGUCGAGUAAAUGUUGUGAAUGGAAUAGUCCGGUAUUGUUUAUUGUUGGGAGCUUUCCAUGUAAAUAGUCUCUUUUUCUCAUACCUUUUGUUACUAUUGUUGCUGUUUUUGUUCUUUUUCUUAUCUCAUUGCUGUUUCCAGUAAGUUUUUCUUGCCUCAAUCCCUGACCUUUGCCUUUUGUGUCUCCAAUUGAAGGGGGGAAGGGGAAGUGGAGGAUGGUUUUAGAGGGAGUACUAAAUGGGAGAAUACCCUUCCUAAACCAUGACAGCCUUAAUUGGCACACAAUGUGGGGCUUGAAGGGUUGAGACAACAACAGAUCUGCCCAGAGAGUGUUGGAAACAAAUAUGAUCUAGCAUCUGUUGUAUUAGGUACAAAGCUGCUGGUCACAAUGUUGCUUGGUCUGUUCAUGUGGGUGUGGUACCGAACCCUGAUACGUUUGCAUAUAUGCACUGUGUGACCAUCAUGAUACUCUGUUUCAGAGCAAGGAGAGGGAUCAGGAUUGUUCUAUUGUACUGUGUGGUAUCAGUGUGAGGGUUAUUCAGUGCUGCUGUCCUGCCCUUACCUUGGGCACUACCUUUGGGAGUCCAUUAAUAAUUGUACCCAACCUGUAGGGGGAACAGGGGAGGAUGAUUUUCCCUAGCUUUUCACCCCCUUUUCCUCCUUCAGGCCUGUUACAACAGCUUUUGAGACUUUUGAAUUUCCUUUGGGUGUUAAGGAAAGCAUAUUCUUGUUGCUAAGCCUGCCAGGUCUCCAUAGUGCAGUCCACACCAUGUUUAGAGCCAAGAAAGAAAUUUCUAGGAAGUUCAUUUGGGUAUCUUCCACAAGGGUGGAUAGUCAUGAGUAGCAUGGAAUGUGGGAUAAAAUGGGCCAGUUUUUUGAUAAAUUCUCUGCUCCAGUGAUUGAGGAAUUCUCCUCUGAAGAACUACAGGACCCUAGUAAAAUGAGAGGUAAUCUGCAAGGAGAAUGCUGUGGCAACUCCAGAGGAACAAUUUAUUGCGGUGUGCUGGGCCCUGGCUACUAUUUAUCAGACACUGCUUGCUAUUAGACAGCACCCUCAGGGGGAGGAGGAAAGCAGACCAGCAGGCACCGGGGCCACUCAGACUGCAGCUGAACCAGAGGAACAACCCGUGAUGGUAGCAUUCAUCCCUACACGUUCAAGACAACAUCAGUUCACUUAGUGAGGGAUGAAGAGGAAGAAGGGCCCUCAGAACAGGAGGAAGAGGCAGGGCUAGAGAUAAUCAACUGAUCCCUAUCCCUGGGUGAGCUGCGAGAUAUGAGAAAAGAUUUCAGUCAUCAGUCAUGAGAGCCCCUGGUGACCUGGCUGCUCCAAUGCUGGGAUAUCGCAGCCCACAAUAUGAAACUAGAUGGGAGUGAAGCCAAGCAAUUGGGAUCCCUGUCCUGGGAUGAGGGCAUUGACAAAGGGAUGGGGAAGAAGACAAAAACUCUCAUGUCAAGGGUGAAGGAAAGGUAUUCUCUCAAGGAUGAUCUAAUAGUGCAUCCAAGCAGGUGGAACGCCAUGGAGAAAGGUGGCCAAUACCUGAGAGAAUUAGCUGUGCUGGAGGUAAUCUAUAGGGAUUCAAAUAACAAGCAGUCCUUGUAGAUCCAGAUGAGGUCCAGUCCACACAAUCCAUGUGGCGGAAGUUUGUAUGGGGCGUGCCAUCAUCACACGCCAACUCAUGAGCAUUGAUGUCAUGGACAGAAGGAGAACAAACAGUGCUUCAGGUGACUGCCUGACUCUGGCAAUAUGAAGAUCAGGUCCUCCCUACUGACCUGCAUCUCGACUGUGGAGACCCUGUCCAAGACUGUGGACAGGUUAAAAGACACACUCCCUUCACUGACGGUUCCUGCCGUAUUGUAGGGAUACAUCAAAAAUGGAAAGCUGCUAUGUGGAGUCCUACACGGUGAGUCACAGAAACUGUUAGGGACAGCCAUUGAAUAUAGAAAUGAUACCUGUGCUUGUGUAUAUUUAUAUAUAUAUAUAUAUAUAUAUAUAUAUAUGUAUAUGUAUAUAGUUGGAAGGUGUGGGAUCUGGGUAUGGCAUAGAUGGUAUAAAAUAAGGGGUGAAUAGUGCCCUGGUUUCAGCCAGGACAGGGUUCAUUUUUUGGCAUAGCCAGGACCCAAGGUUAUUCACCACUUCACCUCAUUGCUGGGGGUGGGGAAAAAGGGACUCUCCCUCUUCAGGAGAGAAGGGGUUCCUUCUGGUCCAGUAAAUUUGGCAGACAGAACAGUCUGGUAUUUUUUAUUGUCAGGAGCUUUUGUUCAUUUUCUUCUCUUAUUGCUGUUUCCAGUAAAUAGUUCUUAUCUCA